ACCCUCAUUGGUUUGAAUGGUGUCAGCAACUUAAAAACACACUGGAUAAAGAAAUUAGCCCUAAUUGAGGUCAGUAUCAUUGACAUCAGGUUAGGUCAGUUAGGUCCUUAUUAAAAGUGGUUGGAUUAAAUCUACUAUGCAGUUUAAAAAGAUGUGUUGUUUUUGAGGGGUUGCCCUUUAGGUUGUUUAAUUGCGUUGUUUGGGGAGUCAUCCUUUACGUUGUUUAAUUACGUUGUUUGAGGAGUCGUCCUUUUAAUUACGUUGUUUAAGGAGUCUGUCUUAACGUUGUUUAUUUACGUUGUUUGAGGAGUAGCCCUUUACGUUGUUUAAUUACGUUGUUUAAUUGCGUUGUUUGAGGAGUCGUCCUUUACGUUGUUUAAUUACGUUGUUUGAGGAGUCGUCCUUUACAUUGUUUAAUUACGUUGUUUAAGGAGUCUGUCUUAACGUUGUUUAUUUACGUUGUUUGAGGAGUCGCCCUUUACGUUGUUUAAUUACGUUGUUUAAUUGCGUUGUUUGAGGAGUCGCCCUUUACGUUGUUUAAUUACGUUGUUUGAGGAGUCGCCCUUUACGUUGUUUCAUAGGCUUAUCUUACCUGGUAAGUGAAAUUGCAAUUUGAAAUAAUUCAGUAUGUCACAAUAUAAUUAAUUUCAAUUUUGGCAUAUUAAACAAUGCUUCUAUAACAUUUUAUUCUCUGUCCUUAGAUGUGGAAUUUUGCUGCAUUGGUGUUAGUGGUGGCAGGGUCUGCUCUGAUCAGUCAACCUGCUGUAUGACCAAUGGAGGAUACGCCUGCUGUCCCUUCCCUGAAUGGAGCGUGUGCUGUCUGGAUGGUGUCCAGUGCUUUCCUUAUGGUUAUAAGUGUGACCACAUACACACUAAGUGUCUGAAGACCGACGGCCUGAGCAGGUCCCAUGGACACCACUUGGUUGCCGUUGACAUUACCCAACAUGGCUGGGUCAUUCACUGCCACAGGAAAUCAACUGACCUCCGGCUACAAUAACCCGUUAUGGCAAGGGAAACACUGGCAAAUACUGGUGUCUACAGCCAUCUAAGCCAAACUCACAAGAUUUUCUUUUGAAUUACAUUUUGCCUAACUACUGAGAUUGGGAUUGUACACUUUUUGUGAAUGCAUUAUAUGUACACGAAUGGGGAAUCAUGACCCACUCAUUGUUGAUUUCAUAAAACAGACAGGUCAAUAAAAUA